rnacentral:lncRNA from 1 species
CACAACAGAUUUCGGAGAUAUAAAUAAAGCACUCUCCUCCCUCUCAAGACAAAAAGAAACAGAUCCUAAUAACCUUUCUAAAGAAAUUUCAGCUAGGAGCCUCUUCUUUUUCUGUUGGUGACAAAGUUUAACAAUCUUUCUUGGUAUUUCUGGGGUUUUGCGCUCUUUUGACUAUAUAUUGAAGCUAGGUAUUGAUUAUUAUUGCCUUCUCUCUGCUUUUGAACUAUUUAUUUCUAUUUUGGUAUUUUGGAGCAAUUUUCAAGCACCAAGGUACACACCUUGACCGUAUGCCAAAACCUUUGUAAAUCUGAUUUAACAUAAAUGUUAGAGAUCUUGUUUGAAUGAUAGGUUGUAUAUCUCAGUUAAUUCUAUAUUUCUUGUGUCAUAAAAAUAUGUUUUCUUGUGUUUUAAGUGCAGAUUUGUUAUCUGUUGGGUUUGAAUUAUAUACAUUGUUUUGUUUUUUUAUUCAUGCCUAAUUUUCUUGCUUCGUGGGUUGGGUUUUUUUGAGAUAAUGCAGUGGUCAACAUGUGUGUAUCCAGGAUCUUGGUGGAUCUGAUCUUGAUUAGUUCCAUGAGAGUUAGAAGUUGAAACAAAUAUUACUCAUGUGUGGGAAGAGCUGGCGGCCUUGUGGAAGAUUAAGGUCCAAACUUUAGUUGUAAAUAUUUGGUUUUGAUAGUUUAGGAUGAGUCAGUUUGCUAUUUCAUAGGUCAAGUCGUGUCCGAUCUUUUUUUAAUAGUUAAUUGCUCAUCAAUGGCACAAAAUCUGUGGAUUUGUUAAAUAGACAUUGAAUCUACAUGUAGGUAGAUGUUAUGUAUAAAGAAGUUGUGAGGUUCAGGACUAAAUGCUUCUAGUAGUUUUAUUUUUAUGUACUAGACCUAUUGGAAAUCCAAGAAAGUUGCAUGAUGGUUUUUGUAUUGUUAGUUUUAUCUUAGAAUUCAAGAUUGAUAAGAUGCUUAUGCAUAUGAUGUUGUCAUAAUUAAUCAAUAGUUUAAAGUAUGUUUGACA